AAGCACCUAAGUGGAAAGGAUUGAGCCUCUUAUGCCACACACAUGUCAUGAAGCUCUCCAUCCACACAGCUUCACUGCUUUCCAGAAGUAGCAAGUGUUUAUUGAAGGCUAACCUGAAUCUCGCCUCCUGGGCUCUAGAAGACGAGGAUGCGUCUAUGAAUCAUCAAAGGGAUGUCUAUGUUAUUGGAAAGGCAUAUAAGCACAAACCUUUUGGAUUAUAUUUGUAUGCUAAAAUAUUAAGAAGCAAUAAUUCCCAUGAAGGAACCUUGAAGCAGGAAAGAUGUUGGAAAGUGAACAGAGCAAUUCUGGAGAUGCUCAGAGAAGCCACUGCAAGGAGAGGGCAUUUGAACAGAGAGGACAGAGUCCAGCCCAGGGAAAGCAUGCAUUCCUGCAGAGGGAACAGCCCAAACUAACACUAUCCAUUGAGCACAUGCUCAUCAAGAGGAAGGGAUGGAAGGUAAAGAAUGAAAGAGGGGAGCAGGCAGGGGCCGUGAUGUUUAGAAGUGGGUAGGAAAAGGUCUUGUAGGGGUUCACAACACAGUAUUUUUCAUGCUAUUCCAACAACAAAGGAACCAACAGCGAGUUGACACAAAGUGAUUUGUACUCUCAAUAGCGUCUCAUGAUCUUCUCUGCGAUACACUAGAGUGGAGAUAACACAGUGGACAAUUCCAGGUUCAGGUCACUGCAGCAGUGCAGUGAGAGAUGAUCUGGGUUUGGAGGACGUGGGGAGGCCGGUAACCAGGAACAAGGCAGCAAAAAGACAUUUAAAUUGAAAAUACUGCCUCUAGUAUGUCCUCUUUAUAAUUUGAAUCACAUGCUUAUAUCUCAUGACAGGGAGAGAUGGAGACCUCAUAUAUGCAUUUAACAAACUGUUGCUAGUCAUCAAUAGGAGAAGAGCUACUGGUGUGUAUUGAGAUUAUGGGAUGAAAUAGUUUGUCAUCUAUGGGUCUCCUUGUAAAUUAAUGUAGCCUUUAGCUACUCUAAUCUCAGCCUUGUCCUCUGAAUUCUCUGCCUAGGGAGCAUGUGUAGAGUCCCCUGGCUUCUGAUUCAGGACACCCAUGGUUGGUGCCUCUAUUCUCAUCUGGACUCUUAAGGAUGGAAGACAUUGAUUAGAAUAGAAUGCAGUCUUACAUGGAGCUUACACAGAGACCAUGGCCAAAGGUUCAGAUCUUCUCUUUCACAACUUCAAUGUAUCACUGUUAACAGAAGUGAGUAACCCUGCAGCCAUGGAAGAUACAAAAUUUCUUUCAUUCAUGUUUUGGCUAGGAUGACCUCAACUCCCU
rnacentral:lncRNA from 1 species